UCAUGGAUACCAUGGCAACAGCUCUCAUGCUAGUUUCUAGGCCCAUCUUCAACCCAAAUCAUAGACCUGAACAUGCCAAUCGAUGACCAAAAACAAAGGAAUCCAGUCACCUACCAUCUACACAGUAAAGGUGCUCGCUUUUAAUGCAAGACAGAAUCUCAACAUGCAGCACUGGAAACCUAGAGACCAGCAUGGCUUCGGACCCAUACAGAUCCGCCUGCCUCUGCCUCCUGAGAGUUGGCAGUAAAGGGGUGCUCUACCAGGUCCAGCCCGUGUGUAAAUCUUAAAGAUCUUUAAGUGUGUGUCUUCAUUUUUACGUUGACUAUAAAUUAGCAUUCCGAGCAGGUCAUCAGAAA